AUUAAAUCAUGCUGAAAACACCAGUUCUUGUUCAAUCAUCGAAGUUAAGCAAUGUUGAAUCUAGUCAGUACUUAGAUGAGAGGCCACUUGGGAACACUAGGUACUGCAA